CCUGCCCCUAGAGGCAUUGCUGCUGUGUCAUGUGUGUGUCAAUAGGUAGCAGAGGAGAGAGGCUAUGUCUCAUUCAUUGUUCUGACCUAUAAACAUCUGAAUGACUAGUAGCCUAACAUU
ensembl:snoRNA LOC120096401 small nucleolar RNA SNORA17